AGAGUUUGAUCCUGGCUCAGAACGAACGCUGGCGGCGCGUUUUAAGCAUGCAAGUCGAACGGUAAUAGGGUGCUUGCACUCUAUGAGAGUGGCGAACGGGUGAGUAACACGUAGGUAAUCUACCUUGAAGUUGGGGAUAGCCUGUGGAAACACAGGGUAAUACCGAAUGUCCUCAUUUCGGUGAGGAAAGAGGCUAAGGCCUCGCUUUGGGAUGAGCCUGCGGCUCAUUAGCUAGUUGGUGGGGUAAAGGCCUACCAAGGCGACGAUGAGUAGCCGACCUGAGAGGGUGACCGGCCACACUGGGACUGAGACACGGCCCAGACUCCUACGGGAGGCAGCAGCUAAGAAUCUUCCGCAAUGGCCGAAAGGCUGACGGAGCGACGCCGCGUGGACGAUGAAGGCCGGAAGGUUGUAAAGUCCUUUUAUUGGAGAAGAAUAAUGCGGGGAGGGAUGCCCUGCAGAUGACGUUAUCCUAUGAAUAAGCCCCGGCUAAUUACGUGCCAGCAGCCGCGGUAACACGUAAGGGGCAAGCGUUGUUCGGAAUUAUUGGGCGUAAAGGGCGCGUAGGCGGCUAUGAAAGUCUGGUGUGAAAGGCCACCGCUUAACGGUGGGAGUGCACUGGAAACUACAUGGCUAGAGUUCAAGAGGGGAAGCUGGAAUUCCUGGUGUAGGGGUGAAAUCUGUAGAUAUCAGGAAGAACACCUGUGGCGAAGGCGAGCUUCUGGCUAUGAACUGACGCUGAGGCGCGAAAGCGUGGGGAGCGAACAGGAUUAGAUACCCUGGUAGUCCACGCUGUAAACGAUGUGCACUAGGUGUUGGCUGUUGUGACGGUCAGUGCCGAAGCAAACGCGAUAAGUGCACCGCCUGGGGAGUAUGCUCGCAAGGGUGAAACUCAAAGGAAUUGACGGGGGCCCGCACAAGCGGUGGAGCAUGUGGUUUAAUUCGACGAUACGCGAGGAACCUUACCAGGGCUUGACAUAUGCAUGACGAUCAUAGAGAUAUGGUUUCCCUUCGGGGCGUGUAUACAGGUGCUGCAUGGUUGUCGUCAGCUCGUGCUGUGAGGUGUUGGGUUAAGUCCCGCAACGAGCGCAACCCCUGCUGUCUGUUGCCAGCAUUUCGGAUGGGGACUCAGACGGUACUGCCGGUGACAAACCGGAGGAAGGUGGGGAUGACGUCAAAUCAUCAUGGCCCUUAUGUCCUGGGCUACACACGUGCUACAAUGGUUGGUACAGAGCGGUGCAAAACCGCGAGGUGGAGCAAAUCGCAGAAAGCCGGCCUCAGUACGGAUUGGAGUCUGAAACUCGACUUCAUGAAGUUGGAAUCGCUAGUAAUCGCGCAUCAGCAUGGCGCGGUGAAUACGUUCCCGGGCCUUGUACACACCGCCCGUCACACCACCCGAGUUGGGGGUACCCGAAGUCGCUCGUCUAACCGGUUACGGAGGACGGUGCCGAAGGUAUGCCUGGUAAGGGGGGUGAAGUCGAAACAAGGUA
rnacentral:rRNA from 1 species